AAUUAUGACAUAACAAUAUUAAUAUUAAUAUCUAAUGUUAUUGAGUUUCAAGACUGCAUGUAUCUGACAUGAUGAACCUCUGUUUGGCACUACUACUCAUAUUAACCUCUACCAGGCUGAGCUCAGCUCGUCUCAACAGCUUCGAUGAUAAGGACAUUCACCAGAAAGAGAACGAAAGUGAACAGCAGAGUAGUUUCAGAGUUAGACAUUGUCCUAUAGACGAUAUCAACAGUGGCUGGGGGCUACUUACUCCACACAACAUACAUGUACAUGAACCAGCUACACCAGGCUUAAGUGGACACGGACCAGCUACACCAGGCUUAAGUGCACACGAACCAGCUACAUCAGGCUUAAGUGCACACACACCAGCUACACCAGACCUACGUAUACGUGAGCCUGCUGGAGUGACACUGAACAGUGGUUCACUGAUAGUAACACAAAACGAGGAAAAGGAUAACGAGAAACAGGAGAAAAAAAAAUGCCGCCGAGGCAGAUUUGGACUUAUUGGUUUUGCAAGCAAAAAGUGCCAGAAGUACUAGACAGAGCAACUAACUGUGCAAGACAUUUCCUUUCUUCUGUUUGGCUCUACUGUACUACAUGUGUAUAGCUAGCACCACUCUUUUACAUGUUCAUGUACUACUGCAUCUAAAUAUACAUUGUAUAAGCA